rnacentral:rRNA from 1 species
UACGUAGGGGGCAAGCGUUGUCCGGAAUCAUUGGGCGUAAAGAGCGUGUAGGCGGCUCGAUAAGUCUGCUGUGAAAGUCCAGGGCUCAACCCUGGAAGGCCGGUGGAAACUGUCGGGCUAGAGUCCGGAAGAGGCGAGUGGAAUUCCCGGUGUAGCGGUGAAAUGCGCAGAUAUCGGGAGGAACACCAGUGGCGAAGGCGGUUACCUGGAGCUUUGCUGACGCUGAUGCGCGAAAGCGUGGGGAGCGAUCCGG